GACGAACGCUGGCGGCGUGCCUAAUACAUGCAAGUUGAGCGAUGAAGAUUGGUGCUUGCACCAAUUUGAAGAGCAGCGAACGGGUGAGUAACGCGUGGGGAAUCUGCCUUUGAGCGGGGGACAACAUUUGGAAACGAAUGCUAAUACCGCAUAAUAACUUUAAACAUAAGUUUUAAGUUUGAAAGAUGCAAUUGCAUCACUCAAAGAUGAUCCCGCGUUGUAUUAGCUAGUUGGUGAGGUAAAGGCUCACCAAGGCGAUGAUACAUAGCCGACCUGAGAGGGUGAUCGGCCACAUUGGGACUGAGACACGGCCCAAACUCCUACGGGAGGCAGCAGUAGGGAAUCUUCGGCAAUGGACGAAAGUCUGACCGAGCAACGCCGCGUGAGGGAAGAAGGGUUUCGGAUCGUAAAACUCUGUUGGUAGAGAAGAACGUUGGUGAGAGUGGAAAGCUCAUCAAGUGACGGUAACUACCCAGAAAGGGACGGCUAACUACGUG
rnacentral:rRNA from 1 species